rnacentral:rRNA from 1 species
AGGGCACCACCAGGAGUGGAGCCUGCGGCUUAAUUUGACUCAACACGGGAAAACUUACCCGGCCCGGACACUGGAAGGAUUGACAGAUUGAGAGCUCUUUCUUGAUUCAGUGGGUGGUGGUGCAUGGCCGUUCUUAGUUGGUGGAGCGAUUUGUCUGGUUAAUUCCGAUAACGAACGAGACUCUAGCCUACUAAAUAGACUGUUCAGCUUUAUAGCCGGAAUCACUGGGCGUGUAGCUCUCCGCAAGGGGGGUUGCAUGUUCAGCUCUGGUGACGUUGGCAGUGCUUCUUAGAGGGACAGGCGGCGGUUCAGCCGCACGAAACAGAGCAAUAACAGGUCUGUGAUGCCCUUAGAUGUCCGGGGCUGCACGCGCGCUACACUGAAGUGAUCAGCGUGCAAUUUACGUUUGGUGAUCUGUCAAGAUUGCCCAACCCGUUGAACCUUCUUCGUGAUUGGGAUAGGGGAUUGUAAUCAUUCCCCUUGAACGAGGAAUUCCCAGUAAGCGCAAGUCAUAAGCUU